rnacentral:tRNA from 1 species
GGCCAUAGCUUAGUGGUAGAGCAUCUGCUUGGCAUGCGGAAGGUCCCAGGUUCAAUCCCUGGCAACUCCA